rnacentral:lncRNA from 1 species
AGAGGAGCAGAUGUAAUUAUGUCUCUUAAUAGUAUUGAUACAUUACCCUGUACUUUUUUGCAGUUUGUGUUUUGUUUAAUAGGUGUGACUGUAGGUGUACUGGUUUCUGUUUGACUGUUGGCUGUGUGGUGAACCUGGGCUAUGAUAAGAGUGGCUGCUUUGGUUUCUGUUUGACUGUUGGCUGUGUGGUGAACCUGGGCUAUGAUAGGAGUGGCUGCUUUGGGAGUAGGGGGACCCACUGGGCUUUUCCAUUUCUCCUCUUCAGUUAUAGGGUUAGGGUUAGGGGUUAGGGGUUAGGGUUAGGGGUUAGG